CUCGUAGGCGGGAUCUCAAGUCAAAUGUGAAAGCCCCUGGCUCAACCAGGAGAGGCCAUUUGAUACUGAGGUUCUUGAGGGUAGGAGAGGGAGGUGGAAUUCCCGGUGGAGCGGUGGAAUGCGUAGAGAUCGGGAGGAACACCAGUGGCGAAGGCGGCCUCCUGGCCUACAUCUGACGCUGAGGAGCGAAAGCUAGGGGAGCGAACG
rnacentral:rRNA from 1 species